rnacentral:rRNA from 1 species
GCCUACGGGGGGCAGCAGUGGGGAAUAUUGCGCAAUGGGCGAAAGCCUGACGCAGCGACGCCGCGUGAGGGAUGAAGGUCUUCGGAUCGUAAACCUCUGUCAGCAGGGAAGAACGGUCACUGUGCUAAUCAGCAGUGAAUUGACGGUACCUGCAAAGGAAGCACCGGCUAACUCCGUGCCAGCAGCCGCGGUAAUACGGAGGAUGCGAGCGUUAUCCGGAUUUAUUGGGUUUAAAGGGUGCGUAGGCGGACGCUUAAGUCAGCGGUAAAAUUGCGGGGCGCAACCUCGUCGAGCCGGUGAAACUG